CUGAGCUCAUCGUUUUAUAUUACCAUGGCAUCCAAAACAGCUUUCUUCUACUUUCUGGUGCUGGCUUGUUUUGUCCAUUCUCUUCAGUCUGCAAUAGUGAAGAGAGAGGCUAACGAUGCACCUGGCUCCGAAUCUCCACUCAACAUAGAGAACCCUCUUAAUAAAUUUGAGGAAGUUAUUGGAUCGCUGAAUCCGAAUACUUUCUUCAACAUUUUCAACAAAUUUCUUCAACCUCCUAAGAAUUAAAAAUAAUUAUGAUCUAUGGCGUAUAAAAAACGGACAAUCAUGAUUAUGUUUUGAUAUUGAAAAUAAAAAUGUUCAUAACGUA